UGGGGAAUCUUGCGCAAUGGGCGAAAGCCUGACUCAGCCAUGUCGCGUGAAUGAUGAAGGUCUUAGGAUUGUAAAAUUCUUUCUCCGGGGACGAUAAUGACGGUACCCGGAGAAGAAGUCCCGGCUAACUUCGUGCCAGCAGCCGCGGUAAUACGAAGGGGGCUAGCGUUGCUCGGAAUUACUGGGCGUCAAGGGUGCGUAGGCGGACAUUUAAGUCAGGGGUGAAAUCCCGGGGCUCAACCUCGGAAUGGCCUUGGAUACUGGGUGUCUUGAGUGUGAGAGAGGUAAGGGGAACUCCGGGGGUAGAGGGGAAAUUCGUAGAUAUUCGGAAGAACACCAGUGGCGAAGGCGACAUACUGGCACAUUACUGACGCUGAGGCUCGAAAGCGUGGGGAGCAAAAA
rnacentral:rRNA from 1 species